rnacentral:sRNA from 1 species
GCUGGGUGCGGUGGCGCAUGCCUGUAAUCCUAGUAGCUUGGGAGGCUGAGGUGGGAGGAUCUCAAGGCAAUGUCCACCAACCAUCAU